rnacentral:lncRNA from 1 species
ACUUUAAUAGGUCACAGUAUUAAAGGAAGAUGGAGUCUUUUUUAAAGUUAGAAUCAGUGUUUGCUAAAUGUAAUCCAAUACACUGAGCCUGAUCUUGCCAGGUAAAUGAGAUGCUCCUGAGAUAAGUAGGGAUUCUAUGGAUACCAGCUGAGCUUGAUUUUGGCUCUCUGAAAUUGAAUGGACUGUGGGAAAACAGAAGCAAAGUUCAAGGCUACAGUUGAGAUGUAUAUUAGUCACAUCUCAAUCACCUUCAUUAUGGUAUCAAUGGAUGAAAAGUACCCAGAAAAGGGGGACACCGUAUGAAGGAGACACCAACAAAGUCAUA